rnacentral:rRNA from 1 species
UACGUAGGGUGCGAGCGUUGUCCGGAAUUAUUGGGCGUAAAGAGCUCGUAGGCGGUGUGUCACGUCGUCGUGAAAACCUGCAGCUUAACUGUGGGCGUGCGGUCGAUACGGGCAUCACUGGAGUUCGGCAGGGGAGACUGGAAUUCCUGGUGUAGCGGUGAAAUGCGCAGAUAUCAGGAGGAACACCGGUGGCGAAGGCGGGUCUCUGGGCCGAUACUGACGCUGAGGAGCGAAAGCGUGGGGGAGCAAACAGG